GGAAUCUUGCGCAAUGGAGGAAACUCUGACGCAGCCACGCCGCGUGCCGGAAGACGGCCCUAUGGGUUGUAAACGGCUUUUGAUUGGGAAGAACUGUUCCGUUUCGACGGGACUUGACGGUACCAUUUGAAUAAGCACCGGCUAACUCCGUGCCAGCCGCCGCGGUAAUACGGAGGGUGCAAGCGUUGUCCGGAAUCAUUGGGUGUAAAGGGUGCGUAGGCUGGCAUCUAAGUCUGGGGUGAAAUCUUGCCGCUUAACGGUAAAAUUGCCCUGGAUACUGGAUGUCUUGAAUCUGACAGAGGUCGGUGGAAUUCGUGGUGUAGCGGUGAAAUGCAUAGAUAUCACGAAGAACACCAGUGGCGAAGGCGGCCGGCUGGGUCAGUAUUGACGCUGAGGCACGAAAGCGUGGGGAGCAAAC
rnacentral:rRNA from 1 species